GUGGGGGGAGUAGGGAGAAUGUGUGUCUGUGAGUGUGUGUUGAGUGUGAGUGUGUGUGUCUGUGUCUGUGUGUGUGUGCAGGGGUCGGGGUGUGUGGGGGGGGGGGGCGGAAUCCGUGUUCGCGAUCUGAACCUCUGGUACCUACAAGGAGGGUGUCUCACCGAACGGUAGCUAAGACCUCACCACAACCGCGCGGGAGCGAGGAGUCGCGGCCAAAGGCGCCAGCCCGAGCCUCCGCUCUGGGCCGGACCCCAGCCCGAGCGGCCGAAAGGAGCCCCCCGCCCGGAUCGCAGCUGCUCCGGGCCGGAAGGCGCACUUGAUGCCCGGAGAGGCGAAGAAGGUGAAGUUCGUUUGUAGACCUGGAACCCCUUUCGGGGGACGUCAAGGGCGGGGGUACUGGGGAAUAAAUCAGUUCUCACAACCAG